rnacentral:sRNA from 1 species
AGCAGAGCUGCCAACCAGAGCCUCUGAUCAACACAGGAUAACCAGCAGGAGAGUUGGUGUAAUUCCAGACAGUGUGACCUUCAGUGACUGUAAGGGAAAUGACAAGCUACGCUAUGAGGUCUCAAGCCCAUACUUCAAGGUGAACAGCGAUGGAGGCUUAGUUGCUCUGAGAAACAUAACUGCAGUGGGCAAAACUCUGUUCGUCCAUGCACGGACCCCCCAUGCAGAAGAUAUGGCAGAACUCGUGAUUGUCGGGGGGAAAGACAUCCAGGGCUCCUUGCAGGAUAUAUUUAAAUUUGCAAGAACUUCUCCUGUCCCAAGACAAAAGAGGUCCAUUGUGGUAUCUCCCAUUUUAAUUCCAGAGAAUCAGAGACAGCCUUUCCCAAGAGAUGUUGGCAAGGUAGUCGAUAGUGACAGGCCAGAAAGGUCCAAGUUCCGGCUCACUGGAAAGGGAGUGGAUCAAGAGCCUAAAGGAAUUUUCAGAAUCAAUGAGAACACAGGGAGCGUCUCUGUGACACGGACCUUGGACAGAGAAGUAAUCGCUGUUUAUCAACUAUUUGUGGAGACCACUGAUGUCAAUGGCAAAACUCUCGAGGGACCGGUGCCUCUGGAAGUCAUUGUGAUUGAUCAGAAUGACAACCGACCGAUCUUUCGGGAAGGCCCCUACAUCGGCCACGUCAUGGAAGGGUCACCCACAGGGACCACGGUGAUGCGGAUGACAGCCUUUGAUGCAGAUGACCCAGCCACCGAUAAUGCCCUCCUGCGGUAUAAUAUCCGUCAGCAGACGCCUGACAAGCCAUCUCCCAACAUGUUCUACAUCGAUCCUGAGAAAGGAGACAUUGUCACUGUUGUGUCACCUGCACUGCUGGACCGAGAG